AGAUAUGAGGGCAAUCUGAUUGAGACAUGCUUCACCCCACUGAUUGCCAGUAUUGAUUCAGUUAAUCUGGCUGGCUAAGUGGGUGUCUGCUUCCUCCCUCACCACUCCACCUGCAUCCUCCCCAACCCUGCACACUCAGCUGAGGAGAAAAGUCUUCCCUGCUGACACAGACUGGUCUUAAGUCAAGGGUGUGCAAGUAACUGCACUCCUUGACCCUCUAAAGUCUCUCAAGAACACAGCUGUGCAGCCCCCCUGCUUGUACACCCUACUUCCCUCUCUUCCACAGUGUUUCCUGAGCCCUGAGGAAGUGGUGU
rnacentral:snRNA from 1 species